ACGAACGCUGGCGGCGUGCUUAACACAUGCACGUCGAACGCUGAAGCCCAGCUUUUGUUGGGUGGAUGAGUGGCGAACGGGUGAGUAACACGUGAGUAACCUGCCUCCUUCUUUGGGAUAACGCCCGGAAACGGGUGCUAAUACUGGAUAUUCACUGGUCUUCGCAUGGGGGUUGGUGGAAAGGGUUUUUCUGGUGGGGGAUGGGCUCGCGGCCUAUCAGCUUGUUGGUGGGGUGAUGGCCUACCAAGGCUUUGACGGGUAGCCGGCCUGAGAGGGUGACCGGUCACAUUGGGACUGAGAUACGGCCCAGACUCCUACGGGAGGCAGCAGUGGGGAAUAUUGCACAAUGGGCGCAAGCCUGAUGCAGCGACGCCGCGUGAGGGAUGGAGGCCUUCGGGUUGUGAACCUCUUUCGCUCAUGGUCAAGCCGCAACAAUGGUUGUGGUGAGGGUAGUGGGUAAAGAAGCGCCGGCUAACUACGUG
rnacentral:rRNA from 1 species